rnacentral:rRNA from 1 species
UGGGCAACCUGCCCCAGACUCUGGGAUAACUCCGGGAAACCGGGGCUAAUACCGGAUACUCCGAUCGGACGACAUCGUCUGACCGGGAAAGCUCCGACGGUCUGGGAUGGGCCCGCGGCCUAUCAGCUUGUUGGCGAGGUAACGGCUCACCAAGGCGACGACGGGUAGCUGGUCUGAGAGGACGACCAGCCACACUGGAACUGAGAUACGGUCCAGACUCCGUACGGGAG